CGGUUGAUCCUGCCGGAGGUUACUGCUAUCGGAGUUCGAUUAAGCCAUGCGAGUCUAAAGGUUUCUUCGGAAGCCUUGGCGGACUGCUCAGUAACACGUGGAUAACCUACCCUUGGGACUGGAAUAACCCCGGGAAACUGGGGAUAAUACCGGAUAGAUCAGGGAUGCUGGAAUGCACCNUGAUCCAAAGCUCCGGCGCCCAAGGAUGGGUCUGCGGCCUAUCAGGUUGUAGUGGGUGUAACGUACCUACUAGCCGACGACGGGUACGGGUUGUGAGAGCAAGAGCCCGGAGAUGGAUUCUGAGACACGAAUCCAGGCCCUACGGGGUGCAGCAGGCGCGAAACCUUUACAAUGUGCGAAAGCAUGAUAAGGGAACUCCGAGUGCCAGUAUCUAAUACUGGCUGUCCUUGUGCCUAAACCGCACAAGAUAGCAAGGGCCGGGUAAGACCGGUGCCAGCCGCCGCGGUAACACCGGCGGCCCGAGUGGUAGCCGCUAUUAUUGGGUCUAAAGGGUCCGUAGCCGGUUCGAUAAGUCCUCUGGGAAAUCUGGUUGCUUAACAAUCAGACUGCCAAGGGAUACUGUUGAACUUGAGACCGGGAGAGGUAAGAGGUACUUCAGGGGUAGGAGUGAAAUCUUGUAAUCCCUGGGGGACCAUCUGUGGCGAAGGCGUCUUACCAGAACGGGUCUGACGGUGAGGGACGAAAGCUGGGGGCGCAAACCGGAUUAGAUACCCGGGUAGUCCCAGCCGUAAACGAUGCUCGCUAUGUGUCNNGUACNGUGUGACCGUAUCUGGUGCCGUAGGGAAGCCGUGAAGCGAGCCACCUGGGAAGUANNUCGCAGACUGAAACUUAGAGGNNNGGCGGGGGAGCAC
rnacentral:rRNA from 1 species